AGGACAAACGCUGGCGGCGUGCCUAAGACAUGCAAGUCGGACGCGGGGUUUCGGCCCCGAGUGGCGGACGGGUGAGGAGCGCGUGGAGAACCUGCCCCGGGAUGGGGGAUACCCGCCAGAAAUGGCGGUUAAGACCGCAUACGACCCACUGGCGACGGCUGGUGAGGAAAGCCGCGGGCGUCCUGGGAGGGGUCCAUGUGGUAUUAGCUUGUUGGUAGGGUAACGGCCUACCAAGGCCAAGAUGCCUAGCAGGUGUGAGAGCACGACCUGCGCCACUGGCACUGGGACACUGGCCAGACUCCUACGGGAGGCUGCAGUCGAGGAUCUUCGGCAAUGGGCGCAAGCCUGACCGAGCGACGCCGCGUGUGCGAUGAAGGCCUUCGGGUUGUAAAGCACUGUCGAGGGGGAGGAAGACCCGCAAGGGUUUGACCUAUCCCUGGAGGAAGCACGGGCUAAGUUCGUGCCAGCAGCCGCGGUAAGACGAACCGUGCAAACGUUGUUCGGAAUCACUGGGCUUAAAGGGCGCGUAGGCGGGCAGCCAAGUCAGGGGUGAAAUCCUCCAGCUCAACUGGAGAACAGCUUUUGAUACUGGUUGUCUUGAGGGAGGUAGGGGCAUGUGGAACUUCCGGUGGGGCGGUGAAAUGCGUAGAUAUCGGAAGGAACGCCGGUGGCGAAAGCGACGUGCUGGACCUUUUCUGACGCUGAGGCGCGAAAGCCAGGGGAGCAAACGGGAUUAGAUACCCCGGUAGUCCUGGCCCUAAACGUUGGGUACUAGAUUGUGGACUAAACAUGGGUUCACAGUCGAAGCAAAAGUGUUAAGUACCCCGCCUGGGGAGUAUGGUCGCAAGGCUGAA
rnacentral:rRNA from 1 species